rnacentral:rRNA from 1 species
GAUGAACGCUGGCGGCGUGCCUAAUACAUGCAAGUCGAGCGAACGGACGAGGAGCUUGCUGUUCUGAUGUUAGCGGCGGACGGGUGAGUAACACGUGGAUAACCUACCUAUAAUACUGGGAUAACUUCGGGAAACCGGAGCUAAUACCGGAUAAUAUUUUGAACCGCAUGGUUCAAAAGUGAAAGACGGUCUUGCUGUCACUUAUAGAUGGAUCCGCGCUGCAUUAGCUAGUUGGUAAGGUAACGGCUUACCAAGGCAACGAUGCAUAGCCGACCUGAGAGGGUGAUAGGCCACACUGGAACUGAGCCACGGUCCAGACUCCUACGGGAGGCAGCAGUAGGGAAUCUUCCGCAAUGGGCGAAAGUCUGACGGAGCAACGCCGCGUGAGUGAUGAAGGUCUUCGGAUCGUAAAACUCUGUUAUUAGGGAAGAACAUAUGUGUAAGUAACUGUGCACAUCUUGACGGUACCUAAUCAGAAAGCCACGGCUAACUACGUG